rnacentral:tmRNA from 1 species
GGGGCUGAAUGGAUUUGACAGCGACUGAAGGGGUUUGUAAGCACGCAGUGCGCCUGGGAGUGGGCACUUUAAUAUCGGCUUCCGAAAAUUUAAUUGGCGAAAAUAAAUACGCUCUCGCUGCCUAAUCUGAAGUACAGUAGGAUUGCUUAAUUCCGUCUCCAGGAGGCGGAACGGGACAUCGCCCGAAACAGCCGUUUUUUCCGAGGCGGUUUCAUAGUGGCGGUGCUAAGAAUAUCGGGAAUAGUCAGGGUGUGCCUCGGCAUUUUGGCGAAAUUUAAGAGGAUAAGGCGUUGGUUGGUGGCUUCGGUCUUGCCAACGCACGAAAAACGAAGCGGAGAUAAGCGUGUAGAAAGCAGAUUCACUCUUCGUUUGGACGAGGGUUCAAUCCCCUCCAGCUCCACU